rnacentral:sRNA from 1 species
CCAUUGAUCGCCAUGGUUGAUUCUGCUGAUCUGGCU